rnacentral:rRNA from 1 species
CCUACGUGGGGCAGCAGUGGGGGAUAUUGCACAAUGGGGGAAACCCUGAUGCAGCGACGCCGCGUGGGCGAAGAAGUAUUUCGGUAUGUAAAGCCCUAUCAGCAGGGAAGAAGAAAGGACGGGACCUGAGUAAGAAGCACCGGCUAAAUACGUGCCAGCAGCCGCGGUAAUACGUAGGGUGCAAGCGUUAUCCGGAUUUACGGGGUGGAAAGGGAGCGCAGGCGGCACGGCAAGCCUGAUGUGAAAGCCCGCGGCCCACCCGCGGGACUGCAUUGGGAACUACCGGGCUGGAGUGCCGGAGAGGUAGGCGGCAUUCCUAGUGUAGCGGUUAAAUGCGUAGAUCUUAGG